rnacentral:rRNA from 1 species
GCAGCGCCUAACUUUUGCAAGUCGGCCGGUAACACGGGGAGCUUGCCUCUGGGUGACGAUCGGCGGACGGGUGAGAUACUGUCUGGGAAACUGCCUGAUGGAGGGGGAUAACUACUGGAAACGGUAGCUAAUACCGCAUAACGUCGCAAGACCAAAGAGGGGGACCUUCGGGCCUCUUGCCAUCAGAUGUGCCCAGAUGGGAUUAGCUAGUAGGUGGGGUAACGGCUCACCUAGGCGACGAUCCCUAGCUGGUCUGAGAGGAUGACCAGCCACACUGGAACUGAGACACGGUCCAGACUCCUACGGGAGGCAGCAGUGGGGAAUAUUGCACAAUGGGCGCAAGCCUGAUGCAGCCAUGCCGCGUGUAUGAAGAAGGCCUUCGGGUUGUAAAGUACUUUCAGCGGGGAGGAAGGUGUUGUGGCUAAUAACCACCAUGCUUGACUUUACUCCGCAGAAGAAGCACCGGCUAACUCCGUGCCACCACCCGCGGUUUACCCGAGGGUGCAAGCGUCAUUCGGAAUUACUGAGAGUACAUCUCACGCCGCCGUUUGUAAACUUCC